rnacentral:lncRNA from 1 species
CCGGUCUACACCAGCCAUGCGCACCAUGCCUGCGCAAUUGCGACACGCGCCCGUGAAACCGCGAGAGUCGGCUCUGAUACCAUUUUGUAACGUCCCGCCUCCCCCCAGGCCGGACCCGCUUACAUCUGAUAGCUUUCAUAGGUCAUAGACUGCCCUCACAGACCAACACAUAUCCGUGAAACCGCGAGAGUCGGCUCUGAUACCAUUUUGUAACGUCCCGCCUUCCCCCAGGCCGGGCCCGCUUACAUCUGAUAGCUUUCAUAGGUCAUAGACUGCCCUCACAGACCAACACAUAUCUUUUCUGCACACUUUGUCCUCACUCGUGU